rnacentral:rRNA from 1 species
UACGUAGGUGGCAAGCGUUGUCUGGAUUUACUGGGCGUAAAGAGCGCGCAGGCGGUCGUUUAAGUCGAAUGUGAAAGCCCCCGGCUCAACUGGGGAGGGUCAUUCGAUACUGAUCGACUUGAAGGCAGGAGAGAGAAGUGGAAUUCCCGGUGUAGUGGUGAAAUGCGUAGAUAUCGGGAGGAACACCAGUGGCGAAGGCGACUUCUUGGCCUGUUCUUGACGCUGAGGAGCGAAAGCGUGGGGAGCAAACAGG